UACGGAAGGCAGCAGUGGGGAAUAUUGCACAAUGGGCGAAAGCCUGAUGCAGCUAUGCCGCGUGUAUGAAGAAGGCCUUAGGGUUGUAAAGUACUUUCAUCGGGGAGGAAAAACAAAACUAAUAAUUUUAUUUCUUGACGUUACCCGAAAAAGAAGCACCGGCUAACUCCGUGCCAGCAGCCGCGGUAAUACGGAGGGUGCUAGCGUUAAUCAGAAUUACUGGGCGUAAAGAGCACGUAGGUGGUUUUUUUAAGUCAGAUGUGAAAUCCCUGGGCUUAACCUGGAACUGCAUUUUGAAACUGAAAUACUAGAGUAUCGUAGGGGGAGGUAGAAUUCUAGGUGUAGCGGUGAAAUGCGUAGAUAUCUGGAGGAAUACCUGUGGCGAAAGCGGCCUCCUAAACGAAUACUGACACUGAGGGUGCGAAAGCGUGGGGAGCGAAACAGGGAUUAGAUACC
rnacentral:rRNA from 1 species